rnacentral:rRNA from 1 species
UACGGAGGAUCCAAGCGUUAUCCGGAAUCAUUGGGUUUAAAGGGUCCGUAGGCGGUUUAAUAAGUCAGUGGUGAAAGCCUUCCGCUUAACGGGAGAACGGCCAUUGAUACUGUUAGACUUGAAUUAUUAGGAAGUAACUAGAAUAUGUAGUGUAGCGGUGAAAUGCUUAGAGAUUACAUGGAAUACCAAUUGCGAAGGCAGGUUACUACUAAUUGAUUGACGCUGAUGGACGAAAGCGUGGGUAGCGAACAGGAUUAGAUACCCUGGUAGUCCACGCCGUAAACGAUGGAUACUAGCUGUUCGGAGCAAUCUGAGUGGCUAAGCGAAAGUGAUAAGUAUCCCACCUGGGGAGUACGUUCGCAAGAAUG